GUGGAGAAUGCUGAUGAGGACUUGAUCUCACUCAAUAAUAAGGGAAAGUCUGCGUCAUCCAAUGUGCUCAAGGCUCUGAAAAAUGUAGACCACACCAGGCGAAGAGGCCAACACCUGCUUUCCAAAAUAGAGGCGCUUUCAAAGAAAAUUCAAGACUUUCUGAACCGGAUGAACUUCACGACUGGUGACCACCUGAAAGAGGCGAUGCGCCUGGUGGAGAUCAUGAGGAGGCAGAACUGCCGUCGCCAGGGGAGACGCGCCCGACAAGAGCAGCAAGAGUCCCACAAACUUCUGCACCAAAUACAGAAACUUCUGGAAACUCUGGCCACAGCUGCUGACAUUGGAAACUCGAUCACAGCUAAUUUGGCAAAGCUGAUGGAUCUGCAAGAGGCACUGGAACAUGCAGAGGAUUUAUUGAGGAUGAUGCAUGAGCUGAACAGUCGCAGCGAGCA
rnacentral:lncRNA from 1 species